AUCGCUUCUCGGCCUUUUGGCUAAGAUCAAAGUGUAGUAUCUGUUCUUAUCAGCUUAAUCUCUGGUAUGUUAUAUGAGGCAGUGUGAAUUUUUGGAUGAUUUAAGGUUGCCAUUUAAUGGGGCUAAUUCUUUAAGAGGAUAAAACGAUGUUUGGCAGUUUCAAAGUUUUGAGGCAUUGCAGAAUAAUUUUGGAAAUCUUAU
rnacentral:snRNA from 1 species